rnacentral:rRNA from 1 species
ACGGGUGAGUAACACGUGGGUAACCUGCCCAUAAGACUGGGAUAACUCCGGGAAACCGGGGCUAAUACCGGAUAACAUUUUGAACCGCAUGGUUCGAAAUUGAAAGGCGGCUUCGGCUGUCACUUAUGGAUGGACCCGCGUCGCAUUAGCUAGUUGGUGAGGUAACGGCUCACCAAGGCAACGAUGCGUAGCCGACCUGAGAGGGUGAUCGGCCACACUGGGACUGAGACACGGCCCAGACUCCUACGGGAGGCAGCAGUAGGGAAUCUUCCGCAAUGGACGAAAGUCUGACGGAGCAACGCCGCGUGAGUGAUGAAGGCUUUCGGGUCGUAAAACUCUGUUGUUAGGGAAGAACAAGUGCUAGUUGAAUAAGCUGGCACCUUGACGGUACCUAACCAGAAAGCCACGGCUAACUACGUGCCAGCAGCCGCGGUAAUACGUAGGUGGCAAGCGUUAUCCGGAAUUAUUGGGCGUAAAGCGCGCGCAGGUGGUUUCUUAAGUCUGAUGUGAAAGCCCACGGCUCAACCGUGGAGGGUCAUUGGAAACUGGGAGACUUGAGUGCAGAAGAGGAAAGUGGAAUUCCAUGUGUAGCGGUGAAAUGCGUAGAGAUAUGGAGGAACACCAGUGGCGAAGGCGACUUUCUGGUCUGUAACUGACACUGAGGCGCGAAAGCGUGNGGAGCAAACAGGAUUAGAUACCCUGGUAGUCCACGCCGUAAACGAUGAGUGCUAAGUGUUAGAGGGUUUCCGCCCUUUAGUGCUGAAGUUAACGCAU